rnacentral:sRNA from 1 species
CCGCUGGGCUGGCCUGAGAGCGCAGCGCGCCGGCCGCCACCAGCCGCGCCGGAGCCCCUGCGCCCUGCGGCCCGCUCCCCGGGGACCGGGCCGGCGCCAUGGACCGAGGCCAGGUGCUGGAGCAGCUGCUCCCAGAGCUCACCGGGCUGCUCAGCCUCCUGGACCACGAGUACCUCAGCGAUACCACCCUGGAAAAGAAGAUGGCCGUGGCCUCCAUCCUGCAGAGCCUGCAGCCCCUUCCAGCAAAGGAGGUCUCCUACCUGUAUGUGAACACAGCAGACCUCCACUCGGGGCCCAGCUUCGUGGAAUCCCUCUUUGAAGAAUUUGACUGUGACCUGAGUGACCUUCGGGACAUGCCAGAGGAUGAUGGGGAGCCCAGCAAAGGAGCCAGCCCUGAGCUAGCCAAGAGCCCACGCCUGAGAAACGCGGCCGACCUGCCUCCACCGCUCCCCAACAAGCCUCCCCCUGAGGACUACUAUGAAGAGGCCCUUCCUCUGGGACCCGGCAAGUCGCCUGAGUACAUCAGCUCCCACAAUGGCUGCAGCCCCUCACACUCGAUUGUGGAUGGCUACUAUGAGGACGCAGACAGCAGCUACCCUGCAACCAGGGUGAACGGCGAGCUUAAGAGCUCCUAUAAUGACUCUGACGCAAUGAGCAGCUCCUAUGAGUCCUACGAUGAAGAGGAGGAGGAAGGGAAGAGCCCGCAGCCCCGACACCAGUGGCCCUCAGAGGAGGCCUCCAUGCACCUGGUGAGGGAAUGCAGGAUAUGUGCCUUCCUGCUGCGGAAAAAGCGUUUCGGGCAGUGGGCCAAGCAGCUGACGGUCAUCAGGGAGGACCAGCUCCUGUGUUACAAAAGCUCCAAGGAUCAGCAGCCACAUCUGAGGUUGGCACUGGAUACCUGCAGCAUCAUCUACGUGCCCAAGGACAGCCGGCACAAGAGGCACGAGCUGCGUUUCACCCAGGGGGCUACCGAGGUCUUGGUGCUGGCACUGCAGAGCCGAGAGCAGGCCGAGGAGUGGCUGAAGGUCAUCCGAGAAGUGAGCAAGCCAGUUGGGGGAGCUGAGGGAGUGGAGGUCCCCAGAUCCCCAGUCCUCCUGUGCAAGUUGGACCUGGACAAGGUAUAUCUGUCUCCACUAAGUCUUCCCCGGGCCAGGCAGUAGCCACUCAACACGGGCUCAACCCCAGGGGAACUAACUGGCUGGGGGGAAAGUCAGGCAACUGCCAAACUGUAGGUGCCCAGCACAGAGCUGGCACAACAGUAGGUGCUUAAUAAAUGUCUCCUGAAUUCA